rnacentral:snRNA from 1 species
AUACAGNCUUUGGCCAGUCAACAAAACAGAAAGAUGGUUUUCCCAGGGUGAGGCUCAUCCAUUGCACACUAGGUGUGUUGACCCUUGCAAUUUCCCCAAAUGCAGGAAACUCAACUGCAUAAUUUGUGGACAAC